UGAGAGGGUGUUGGCCCCCUUUGGGAAUGGAGACAGGUUCCAAUUUCUUAGGGGAGGCAGCAGUGGGGAAUUUUGCAUAAGGGGCAAAACCUUGAUGCAGCAACGCGGCGUGAGGGAUGAAGCCUUUGGGUUGGAAAAGUUCUGUCCUCAGGAAAGAUAAUGGCGGUACUUGAGGAGGAAGCCCGGGCUAUUUACGUCCCAGCAGCCGGGGUAAUAGGUAGGGGGUUAGCUUUUUCGGGUUUUAUUGGGGGUAAGGGGUGCGUGGGCGUUUUUUUAAUUCAGGAGUGAAAGGUUAGGGUUCACCGGUGGUAAGUUCUGGAAAUGGGAGGAUUGGAGGCCGGGGGAGGAGAGUGGAUUUCUUAGGGUGGGGGGGAAAGGGGUGAUUUUUGGGGGGACCCCCGGUAGGGAGGGGGGCUUUUUGGACGGUAACGGCCGUGGGGCCAGGAAGGGGGGGGAACCAACCAGGUUUGAUUCCCUUGUUGUUCCCCCCGUUAACGAUGAGUACUAGCUGUAGGAGGUUACCCCCUUUGGUGGCGCAGGUAACGCAUUAAGUACUCCGCCCGGGGAGUACGCUCGCAAGAGUGAAACUCAAUGGAAUUGACGGGGACCCGCACAAGUAGCGGAGCAUGUGGUUUAAUUUGAAGCAACGCGAAGAUCCUUACCUAAGCUUGACAUCCUUGUGACCGAUGCCUAAUUGCAUCUUUCCCUUCGGGGACAGAAGUGACAGGUGGUGCAUGGUUGUUGUCAGCUCGUGUCGUGAGAUGUUGGGUUAAGUCCCGCAACGAGCGCAACCCUCGCCUUCAGUUGCCAUCAUUAAGUUGGGCACUCUAGAGGGACUGCCCGGGAUAACCCGGAGGAAGGUGGGGAUGACGUCAUACUCAUCAUGCCCCUUAUGCUUAGGGCUACACUCGUGGUACAUUGGGUGGUUCAUAGGGCAGUGAAGUCGUGAGGGCAAGCUAAUCCCUUAAAGCCAUUCUCAGUUCGGAUGGUAGGCUGAAACUCGCGUACAUGUAGCUGGAGUUACUUGUAUUGGCAGAUCAGAAUGAUGCGGUGAACGAGUUUUCGUCUUUAGCACACACCACCCUUCA
rnacentral:rRNA from 1 species